UCAGAAAGGCCAAUAUUGAAGUUGCCAGAAUUUAAUGAAACCUUCAUUUUACGCACGGACGCUGCAGAUGAUGGGAUAGGUGCUGUGCUGUUACAGAUGGAGGAUGACGAGAAACUACCCGUAGCGUACGCCAGUAGGAAACUUCAACCAAGAGAAAAGGCAUACGCUGUUAUCGAGAAGGAGUGUUUGGCGGUAGUGUGGGGAAUACAGAAGUUCCACCAGUACCUUUAUGGACGCGAGUUUCUACUUGAAACUGAUCACCAACCCCUGACCUACCUUAACAAAGCAAAGACAGAGAACUCCAGACUGAUGCGUUGGGCUUUGCAGCUUCAGCCAUACCGCUUUAGGAUCAUUGCGAUCAAAGGAAGCGACAAUGUGGGUGCGGAUUACCUGAGUCGUCAGUGAGAUGUAUCGUAGACAGUACAGGUAUGUAUAUAGGUUUUAUUGUAAAUACGUGAGAAUUUUCAAAAUUCAGUGAUUGUUUAUUUGAAAUUGCAGGACAAUUUUUUAAGGGGGGAGGUGUGUGACAAUCACUGUUCAUAUCGAACACACCCGAUUUUAUUUUUCCCAUAAUUCUUUGCAACGUGCUUGGCCGACGCUAACAAUAGGCGCUAAGUUAUACCCGGCCGAGCUGUCCAGCGAUAAAGACGUGCUUAGUGUUAGAAGGGGGUAUCGUGGUAGAAGCCUGUGUGGCAUGUUUUAGUUUCACAAGUUCAGCAUUUGACGCGGACACGGAUAGCUGACCGUGUGUCAUAUUGUUGAUGUUGAGAAGAUGAUGAUGUUAUGGUGAUGACGAUGAUGUCUUUUGUGAUUAUGGUGUUGUAGGCGAUGGUGUUGACGAUAGUGUCGAUGAUUAUGAUGGCGAUGGUGAUGAUGAUGAUUGUGGUGACGAAACUACUCUAGUUGUGGUUGUCCGUAGUUGGUCCAGGACUACAGCCCCGGAGAUUCGGACACUCUUCUAAUUUAUUUUUGGUCAUUUGUAUAAACAUCAUAUUUUUUCUUGUUGAGUGAAAGUUGUGUGAGUGUUUGUGUGGUUUAGUGUUUAUAUUUCUAUCUUUUCUUUCUUUCUCUUAUUUUUUUUGUUAUUAAAUUUUGUUAAAUUUAA